rnacentral:rRNA from 1 species
GGGCACCUACGGGAGGCAGCAGUGGGGAAUAUUGCACAAUGGGCGAAAGCCUGAUGCAGCAACGCCGCGUGAGCGAUGAAGGCCUUCGGGUCGUAAAGCUCUGUCCUCAAGGAAGAUAAUGACGGUACCUGAGGAGGAAGCCCCGGCUAACUACGUGCCAGCAGCCGCGGUAAUACGUAGGGGGCUAGCGUUAUCCGGAAUUACUGGGCGUAAAGGGUGCGUAGGCGGCCUGCUAAGUCUGGAGUGAAAGGUACCGGCUCAACCGGUACAGGCUCUGGAAACUGGCGGG